ACCGUGAUGGUGAUGAGAGAGAGACACGCAAACUCCAAAUAUACAACAGGCAUCGUCAGGGUCGGGAUCGAACCCACGACCUCCUGCAUACCAGGCGGGGUAGUUAACAUCUCCUAGCCACCGUGCCCAGUCCCGUAGACACAGCCUCGGCACGAGAAGUGCAGAUUCAUCCCUGAAUUAUUUUGCAUGGGAAUCGGAGCGAGGUGCAACUCAACCCAGGGCGGUCAUCCACUCGUAUUGUUUAUAGAUGAGAGGCAGUAUUUUUUAUUUCCGUGUUUUUGCGCACGGCGAAUCGUGCAACGUUGCGCGCGCUUUAAGCGAGCGCGGUGUACAGUACAACGCGAAUGUGAGACUUGACGUCGCGUUGUCAGCUGAACUGUUCAAAGCGACGCCAUCGUCGUGAGGUCCAACCCUGAUAAGACGGAGGUGUCGGCGGUGGGACCCUGAAUCAGAAUCAGAAUAUUUAUUGCUGGAGGAAUCCGAUGAGCUCUAAAGCUCUUUCUCACAGAUGUCCAGUCUGGGGCAGAUAAGAACGUUACAACAACAAACGGCACAAAAACUCGAUAGCAGUGGAAAGUAUAACAAGGUCUUGAUUUGAAGCUUUCGUGACUGCAGGAAUCCAUACUCUCUGGUUCUUUCGGUAAAGUCCACGUAGGUAGAAGAAAAAAUAAUAAAAGAAACGACGUUUCGGUCGCAACACAAGCGUCCGUGAUCAGGUGAUAAAAUGUAUAAGAAAGGUAAAGAAAAUCACCCAAA